UACGUAGGGUGCAAGCGUUGUCCGGAAUUUAUUGGGCGUAAAGAGCUCGUAGGCGGUUUGUCGCGUCUGCUGUGAAAACUCGGGGCUUAACCCCGGGCUGCAGUGGGUACGGGCAGACUAGAGUGCGGUAGGGGAGACUGGAAUUCCUGGUGUAGCGGUGAAAUGCGCAGAUAUCAGGAGGAACACCGGUGGCGAAGGCGGGUCUCUGGGCCGAUACUGACGUGAGGAGCGAAAGCAUGGGUAGCGAACAGG
rnacentral:rRNA from 1 species